GUUUAGGGUGCUAAUUAUUUCAUCCAGAAAACCCUACAAUUAUUGUCAGCUUUCAGUGUAGUCAGAAUAUUCCUAUAGGUUAUGGGAUACAAUUCAGGAUUUAACUAAUGUUUCUGCUAUUUUCUCACUUUUCCUUUUGAUGGUGCGGAAAGAGAAAAGGAAAACGGGGCACAGGCCAUUCGCCGCCUUCUCCAGGGGUCUGAUUUGCUGAGACACCAGCUCCACCUUCCUAACAAGGUUAUUUCUGACAGCAUGUGUAGAUAAACAUUUAGCCACAGUUUAAAACAGAGUCAUGUAACUCAACUUGGUUUUGCGACAAAGGAAUUCCUAUUUUUAACAUGGUAGACGAGAAUUUCCAAAAGCAUAUGUAAUCUUUUCUAUUUGGGGGUAAUUAAUGUCUGAUUCCCUGAGGAAGAAUCCGAUUUAAGGGGCUUAAAUAAUAUUUUUAAAUUGUAAAUGGGAUUUUUUUAUUUACCCAGGCACCUAAUUACAACAAGCAUGCACAUUUUGGUGCAUUCAAGAAUGGAAAAUCAGAAUAGCAGCAUUCUCCUGGUGGGCUUUGCUCCAUUUAAAGACAUGACAUGAACUGCACGCCAGGAAGGUGAUAGAUGAUGUGCAGCUCAGUGGAAGAUGAUGACAACCAGAAGACAUGAGCUAAGGGUAAGGGACUGUUCUUCUGAAGAACCUUUCCAUUUAGUGAUCAAGAUGCAGAAGCUGAUCUCUGAAAAUACUCAGUGUGUAUCCUAAUUGUUCAUGUUACCGUUUCCAAUUAUAAACUGCAUUGUAGCAGCACAUGUUCCCACUUGACUCUGGGGAAACAAUAAAAUAUGCCUCUUGAUACCAUA
rnacentral:lncRNA from 1 species